UAGACCGCCUGGGGAGUACGGCCGCAAGGUUAAAACUCAAAUGAAUUGACGGGGGCCCGCACAAGCGGUGGAGCAUGUGGUUUAAUUCGAUGCAACGCGAAGAACCUUACCUGGUCUUGACAUCCACGGAAAUUUUCAGAGAUGAGAAUGUGCCUUCGGGAACCGUGAGACAGGUGCUGCAUGGCUGUCGUCAGCUCGUGUUGUGAAAUGUUGGGUUAAGUCCCGCAACGAGCGCAACCCUUAUCCUUUGUUGCCAGCGAUUAGGUCGGGAACUCAAAGGAGACUGCCAGUGAUAAACUGGAGGAAGGUGGGGAUGACGUCAAGUCAUCAUGGCCCUUACGACCAGGGCUACACACGUGCUACAAUGGCGCAUACAAAGAGAAGCGACCUCGCGAGAGCAAGCGGACCUCAUAAAGUGCGUCGUAGUCCGGAUUGGAGUCUGCAACUCGACUCCAUGAAGUCGGAAUCGCUAGUAAUCGUGGAUCAGAAUGCCACGGUGAAUACGUUCCCGGGCCUUGUACACACCGCCCGUCACACCAUGGGAGUGGGUUGCAAAAGAAGUAGGUAGCUUAACCUUCGGGAGGGCGCUUACCACUUUGUGAUUCAUGACUGGGGUGAAGUCGUAACAAGGUAACCGUAGGGGAACCUGCGGUUGGAUCACCUCCUUACCUUAAAGAAGC
rnacentral:rRNA from 2 species